rnacentral:rRNA from 1 species
GAUGAACGCUAGCGGCAGGCCUAACACAUGCAAGUCGAGGGGCAGCAUAAAACGAGCUUGCUUGUUUGGUGGCGACCGGCGCACGGGUGCGUAACGCGUAUGCAACCUACCCUGUACUGGGGGAUAGCCCGGAGAAAUUCGGAUUAAGACCCCAUAGUAUAUAUCAUUCGCAUGUUUGGUAUAUUAAAGGUUACGGUACAGGAUGGGCAUGCGUCCUAUUAGCUAGAUGGUGAGGUAACGGCUCACCAUGGCGACGAUAGGUAGGGGGCCUGAGAGGGUGGUCCCCCACACUGGUACUGAGACACGGACCAGACUCCUACGGGAGGCAGCAGUGAGGAAUAUUGGUCAAUGGACGCAAGUCUGAACCAGCCAUGCCGCGUGCAGGAAGGCGGUCCUCUGGAUUGUAAACUGCUUUUGUUAGGGAAGAAACCCUCGGUUGCGACCGAGGCUGACGGUACCUAAAGAAUAAGGAUCGGCUAACUCCGUGCCAGCCGCCGCGGUAAUAC